AGUAAUGUAUGGGGAUCUGCCUGAUGGCGGGGGAUAACUACUGGAAACGGCAGCUAAUACCGCAUAAUGUCUGCGGACCAAAGCGGGGGACCUCCGGGCCUCGCGCCAUCAGAUGAACCCAUAUGGGAUUAGCUUGUAGGUAAGGUAACGGCUUACCUAGGCGACGAUCCCUAGCUGGUCUGAGAGGAUGAUCAGCCACACUGGGACUGAGACACGGCCCAG
rnacentral:rRNA from 1 species